rnacentral:lncRNA from 1 species
UUCUAAUGUUUUUAUUUGUUUAGCUUUGCCUUCCCUAUAUUGCUUUUCUCAUUUAUGCCUCUUUUAUCCAUAGAGGGAUUUGUAUUAACCAGGACGAGGGAUUUCUUAUUAAAAUAAUAAAUAUUAGGCUCCAUGACAAUAAAAUUUGCAAGCACAUGUAUGGAAAUACAUUUGUGUGUGUUUUGUUUACAUGUAUUCUACAAGUUGUGCUAGCGAUAGUGCUUUGUUUAAGAAAGUAAGAAAUGUUAUUGAAUCAACAAUAAAAAGGAGAACAAGAAUGGGAUACACGUGUGGACGUAGUAGAAAAUUGCAAAGCUUUCAUAAAGAUCCGGAAAUACUUGUUGAAAGUUCGUUUCAACUAAGUAGGUGAGGGUCAAUUAGAACAAACUUUGCUUCUAUAAAAUAAAUUAUUUCUUUAAUAUUGGUUAUAAAUGAUUUUUGUAGUCUUUCUUACAAUUCCUAAUGAAAUAAACUCUUAAAAUAUGUCUGUUAAAAUCGUUUAUAUAUACGUAUGCGUAUAUUGGAUAGACUAUGGUAUAUUUGAACAUCUAUGUUCAAACAAUCAGCUACUACAAUUAUUACUUAUAAUGGAUUAUUAGUCACACAAAGAGUAGUUAUUUUCUUACUA